AGAAUCAACGCUGGCGGCGUGCCUAACACAUGCAAGUCGAACGAGAAAGUGGAGCAAUCCAUGAGUAAAGUGGCGACCGGGUGAGUAACACGUGACUAACCUACCUUCGAGUGGGGAAUAACCUCGGGAAACCGGGGCUAAUACCGCAUAAUGUCUUCGGACCAAAGGAGCAAUUCGCUUGAAGAGGGGGUCGCGGCCGAUUAGCUAGUUGGUGGGGUAACGGCCCACCAAGGCAAUGAUCGGUAGCCGGCCUGAGAGGGCGCACGGCCACACUGGAACUGAAACACGGUCCAGACUCCUACGGGAGGCAGCAGUGGGGAAUUUUGCGCAAUGGGGGAAACCCUGACGCAGCAACGCCGCGUGGAGGAUGAAGCCCCUUGGGGUGUAAACUCCUUUCGAUCGGGACGAUUAUGACGGUACCGGAUGAAGAAGCACCGGCUAACUCUGUGCCAGCAGCCGC
rnacentral:rRNA from 1 species